AAGAGAUGUUGAUGUCCUCCACCUCAUAAAAAUUGGAAUACUUUUUGUUGCAGCCACCCAACCCAUCAAUGCUUUGGCAUUUGUAUUUUUGCAGACUAUAAUCUAUCUCCUUACGUGAGAUGGUUAUUACAACCCUGGGUGAUCUGCAUGGGCUCUAUCCGGGGAUCAUUAUUGCAAAAUAAGGUUUUGAGGAUUAAGGAUAAGUCUACUGAUCAGGUUCAAACAUCCCUUUGAGAAAAUUUUGUACAAGUUGUAUGUAUUGCUAAAUAAUAAGUAGUGCCAACCCCACUUUGUCUGGAAGAAAUUGAAGAGAUAGAUAAAUGCCUAACUCGUACCUUAAUCAUGUUGGUGUUUGUUAAUUAGUUAAUUAUUAGACAUAUAUGGAAAAAUGCUAAGUAAAAAGACCUCAGCAAGAAAAACCAUUUUGAAACAUCGUCUGAAUAUAAAGAAGAAAAAAACUACUCCUCCUUCCAUGUAUCAUAAUGUUAGACAAGAGGACUGCUCUAACUUACAGUGAUUCUAAAAACGAAAAUGGUUGUUCAUAAUAUUUAACUUUGAGAUGUUUCCACUAGCAUACACGGGAACAAGUAGAAAGUUCUGAGGUGUUUCGAAUAUUUUAUUCCAUUUCAAAAUUAUAUUCCUUGAUAUGGUUAAGGGUUAUGGUUAUGUAUCUUAUGUAGUAUUGAUUUGACUAAUUAUUUUCCUAAGUAUAUUUAUAUGGAGGAUUUCAGGUAUAUAACACUUGGAUGGGUUUACCUGGUCACUGUUGGGCAUCAUAAUUGUCCUGUUUUUGUGCUGAAUUAUUUGGUCAGAGU